rnacentral:tmRNA from 1 species
GGGGGUGACCUGGCUUCGACGCCGGUCGCGAAGCCAUCGGAGCAUGCCGAGGAGCAGAACACCUCGUAAAUCCAUCUGCAACGCAAUAGUUGCCAACGACGACAACUACGCGCUGGCCGCUUAAUCCGGCUCAGCCCUUUCACCUGGUUCGCCUUUGACUGGGGUUUGAAAGGUCAAACAGAAGGCUUUGCUUGCGGGUUCGCCUGGCGCUCGUAAGCGAGAUUCACAGGCUCGCCGCCGCGUGUUCGCGUCUGCAGUGCUUUGACGCGGCGGUUAAUCCGACAAGCGCAGACUAAGCAUGUAGCCGCCGGUGGUGUAGGUCCUGCGGACGCGGGUUCGAUUCCCGCCACCUCCACCA